AGAUUAAGUUAUUAAGGGCGCACGGUGGAUGCCUUGGCACUAGAAGCCGAUGAAGGACGUUACUAACGACGAUAUGCUUUGGGGAGCUGUAAGUAAGCUUUGAUCCAGAGAUUUCCGAAUGGGGAAACCCAGCAUGAGUUAUGUCAUGUUAUCGAUAUGUGAAUACAUAGCAUAUCAGAAGGCACACCCGGAGAACUGAAACAUCUUAGUAACCGGAGGAAGAGAAAGAAAAUUCGAUUCCCUUAGUAGCGGCGAGCGAAACGGGAAGAGCCCAAACCAACAAGCUUGCUUGUUGGGGUUGUAGGACACUCUAUACGGAGUUACAAAGGACGACAUUAGACGAAUCAUCUGGAAAGAUGAAUCAAAGAAGGUAAUAAUCCUGUAGUCGAAAAUGUUGUCUCUCUUGAGUGGAUCCUGAGUACGACGGAGCACGUGAAAUUCCGUCGGAAUCUGGGAGGACCAUCUCCUAAGGCUAAAUACUCUCUAGUGACCGAUAGUGAACCAGUACCGUGAGGGAAAGGUGAAAAGCACCCCGGAAGGGGAGUGAAAUAGAACCUGAAACCGUGUGCUUACAAGUAGUCAGAGCCCGUUAAUGGGUGAUGGCGUGCCUUUUGUAGAAUGAACCGGCGAGUUACGAUUUGAUGCAAGGUUAAGCAGUAAAUGUGGAGCCGUAGCGAAAGCGAGUCUGAAUAGGGCGUUUAGUAUUUGGUCGUAGACCCGAAACCAGGUGAUCUACCCUUGGUCAGGUUGAAGUUCAGGUAACACUGAAUGGAGGACCGAACCGACUUACGUUGAAAAGUGAGCGGAUGAACUGAGGGUAGCGGAGAAAUUCCAAUCGAACCUGGAGAUAGCUGGUUCUCUCCGAAAUAGCUUUAGGGCUAGCCUCAAGUGAUGAUUAUUGGAGGUAGAGCACUGUUUGGACGAGGGGCCCCUCUCGGGUUACCGAAUUCAGACAAACUCCGAAUGCCAAUUAAUUUAACUUGGGAGUCAGAACAUGGGUGAUAAGGUCCGUGUUCGAAAGGGAAACAGCCCAGACCACCAGCUAAGGUCCCAAAAUAUAUGUUAAGUGGAAAAGGAUGUGGCGUUGCCCAGACAACUAGGAUGUUGGCUUAGAAGCAGCCAUCAUUUAAAGAGUGCGUAAUAGCUCACUAGUCGAGUGACACUGCGCCGAAAAUGUACCGGGGCUAAACAUAUUACCGAAGCUGUGGAUUGUCCUUUGGACAAUGGUAGGAGAGCGUUCUAAGGGCGUUGAAGCAUGAUCGUAAGGACAUGUGGAGCGCUUAGAAGUGAGAAUGCCGGUGUGAGUAGCGAAAGACGGGUGAGAAUCCCGUCCACCGAUUGACUAAGGUUUCCAGAGGAAGGCUCGUCCGCUCUGGGUUAGUCGGGUCCUAAGCUGAGGCCGACAGGCGUAGGCGAUGGAUAACAGGUUGAUAUUCCUGUACCACCUAUAAUCGUUUUAAUCGAUGGGGGGACGCAGUAGGAUAGGCGAAGCGUGCGAUUGGAUUGCACGUCUAAGCAGUAAGGCUGAGUAUUAGGCAAAUCCGGUACUCGUUAAGGCUGAGCUGUGAUGGGGAGAAGACAUUGUGUCUUCGAGUCGUUGAUUUCACACUGCCGAGAAAAGCCUCUAGAUAGAAAAUAGGUGCCCGUACCGCAAACCGACACAGGUAGUCAAGAUGAGAAUUCUAAGGUGAGCGAGCGAACUCUCGUUAAGGAACUCGGCAAAAUGACCCCGUAACUUCGGGAGAAGGGGUGCUCUUUAGGGUUAACGCCCAGAAGAGCCGCAGUGAAUAGGCCCAAGCGACUGUUUAUCAAAAACACAGGUCUCUGCUAAACCGUAAGGUGAUGUAUAGGGGCUGACGCCUGCCCGGUGCUGGAAGGUUAAGAGGAGUGGUUAGCUUCUGCGAAGCUACGAAUCGAAGCCCCAGUAAACGGCGGCCGUAACUAUAACGGUCCUAAGGUAGCGAAAUUCCUUGUCGGGUAAGUUCCGACCCGCACGAAAGGCGUAACGAUUUGGGCACUGUCUCAACGAGAGACUCGGUGAAAUCAUAGUACCUGUGAAGAUGCAGGUUACCCGCGACAGGACGGAAAGACCCCGUGGAGCUUUACUGUAGCCUGAUAUUGAAAUUCGGCACAGCUUGUACAGGAUAGGUAGGAGCCUUUGAAACGUGAGCGCUAGCUUACGUGGAGGCGCUGGUGGGAUACUACCCUAGCUGUGUUGGCUUUCUAACCCGCACCACUUAUCGUGGUGGGAGACAGUGUCAGGCGGGCAGUUUGACUGGGGCGGUCGCCUCCUAAAAGGUAACGGAGGCGCUCAAAGGUUCCCUCAGAAUGGUUGGAAAUCAUUCAUAGAGUGUAAAGGCAUAAGGGAGCUUGACUGCGAGACCUACAAGUCGAGCAGGGUCGAAAGACGGACUUAGUGAUCCGGUGGUUCCGCAUGGAAGGGCCAUCGCUCAACGGAUAAAAGCUACCCCGGGGAUAACAGGCUUAUCUCCCCCAAGAGUUCACAUCGACGGGGAGGUUUGGCACCUCGAUGUCGGCUCAUCGCAUCCUGGGGCUGUAGUCGGUCCCAAGGGUUGGGCUGUUCGCCCAUUAAAGCGGUACGCGAGCUGGGUUCAGAACGUCGUGAGACAGUUCGGUCCCUAUCCGUCGUGGGCGUAGGAAAUUUGAGAGGAGCUGUCCUUAGUACGAGAGGACCGGGAUGGACAUACCUCUGGUGUACCAGUUGUCGUGCCAACGGCAUAGCUGGGUAGCUAUGUGUGGACGGGAUAAGUGCUGAAAGCAUCUAAGCAUGAAGCCCCCCUCAAGAUGAGAUUUCCCAACUUCGGUUAUAAGAUCCCUCAAAGAUGAUGAGGUUAAUAGGUUCGAGGUGGAAGCAUGGUGACAUGUGGAGCUGACGAAUACUAAUCGAUCGAAGACUUAAUCAAA
rnacentral:rRNA from 1 species